rnacentral:tRNA from 1 species
UCCCUUGUAGCUCAGUUGUUAAAGAAUCUGCCUACAAUGCAGGAGACCCGGGUUUGAUUCCUGGGUUGGGAA